CCCUUAGAUGUUCUGGGCCGCACACGCGCUACACUGAAGGAGGCAGCGUGUACUCCUGGAUCGAAAGAUUUGGGUAACCCGCGAAUCUCCUUCGUGCUAGGGAUUGAGGUUUGCAAUUAUCCUUCAUGAACGAGGAAUUCCCAGUAAGUGCAAGUCAUAAGCUUGCGCUGACUACGUCCCUGCCCUUUGUACACACCGCCCGUCGCUACUACCGAUUGAAUGAUUUAGUGAGGACUUCGGACUGGGACCGAUGCGGCUUUCGGGCUGCGUCGGUAUUCUGGAAAGAUGUCCAAACUGUUUCAUUUAGAGGAAGUAAAAGUCGUAACA
rnacentral:rRNA from 1 species